GAUGAACGCUGGCGGCGUGCCUAAUACAUGCAAGUCGAGCGAACGGACGAGAAGCUUGCUUCUCUGAUGUUAGCGGCGGACGGGUGAGUAACACGUGGAUAACCUACCUAUAAGACUGGGAUAACUUCGGGAAACCGGAGCUAAUACCGGAUGAUAUUUUGAACCGCAUGGUUCAAAAGUGAAAGACGGUCUUGCUGUCACUUAUAGAUGGAUCCGCGCUGCAUUAGCUAGUUGGUAAGGUAACGGCUUACCAAGGCAACGAUGCAUAGCCGACCUGAGAGGGUGAUCGGCCACACUGGAACGGAGACACGGUCCAGACUCCUACGGGAGGCAGCAGUAGGGAAUCUUCCGCAAUGGGCGAAAGCCUGACGGAGCAACGCCGCGUGAGUGAUGAAGGUCUUCGGAUCGUAAAACUCUGUUAUUAGGGAAGAACAGAUGUGUAAGUAACUGUGCACAUCUUGACGGUACCUAAUCAGAAAGCCACGGCUAACUACGUG
rnacentral:rRNA from 1 species